UACGGAGGGGGCGAGCGUUAUUCGGAAUUAUUGGGCGUAAAGGGCGCGUAGGCGGCUUGACAAGUCAAAGGUGAAAUCCCUCGGCUCAACUGAGGAACUGCCUUUGAAACUGUCUGGCUUGAGGCCGGGAGGGGGUAGCGGAAUUCCCAGUGUAGCGGUGAAAUGCGUAGAUAUUGGGAGGAACACCCGUGGCGAAGGCGGCCCCCUGGGCCGAACCUGACGCUGAGGCGCGAAGGCUAGGGGAGCGAACGGG
rnacentral:rRNA from 1 species